AAAUCUCAACCUUCUCGGUUUCUUCUGGACACCGAAGGAGGCUUGGACUUUGGAGGCCUUUGCUGGCAUCUCUCUCUUUUGAGAGCCAGCUCCUCUUAAAUGAAUUAGCGGGGUCCUCUUUGCUGGUCCUCGACAUGUGAUAAGAUGUUUCCAUGUCUUGGUCUCUGGCUCUGUUGCUUUUGGGACCCGCUUCUAACCGUCUCAACGAGACAAUGUUUGAGCGUGUCUCCCUUCUCGGGAGACCCUCUCGACCCCACGAAC
rnacentral:misc_RNA from 1 species